rnacentral:tRNA from 1 species
GAGCCCGUAGCUUAGCCUGGUGGAGCACCGGUCUUAUACACCGGCGGUCGGGAGUUCAAAUCUCCUCGGGCUCA